rnacentral:rRNA from 1 species
AAGCGGCGAACGGGUGAGUAACACGUGGGUAAUCUGCCCUCGGCAUCGGGAUAGCCCGGGGAAACCCGGAUUAAUACCGAAUAGACUCCGGAGCUUUCGGGCGCCGGAGAAAAGGGUGGCUUCGGCUUCCGGCUGAGGAUGAGCCCGCGGCGGAUUAGCUUGUUGGCGGGGUAACGGCCCACCAAGGCGACGAUCCGUAGCUGGUCUGAGAGGACGAUCAGCCACACUGGGACUGAGACACGGCCCAGACUCCUACGGGAGGCAGCAGUGGGGAAUCUUGCGCAAUGGGCGAAAGCCUGACGCAGCGACGCCGCGUGCGGGAAGAAGGCCUUCGGGUUGUAAACCGCUUUCAGGAGGGACGAAGCCACUCGGGUUAAUAGCCCAGAGGGUGACGGUACCUCCAGAAGAAGCCCCGGCUAACUACGUGCCAGCAGCCGCGGUAAUACGUAGGGGGCUAGCGUUGUCCGGAUUUAUUGGGCGUAAAGAGCGUGUAGGCGGCCAGGUAGGUCCGUUGUGAAAACUCGAGGCUCAACCUCGAGACGUCGGCGGAAACCCCUUGGCUAGAGUCCGGAAGAGGAGAGUGGAAUUCCUGGUGUAGCGGUGAAAUGCGCAGAUAUCAGGAAGAACACCCGUGGCGAAGGCGGCUCUCUGGGACGGUAC